GGUGAAGGCCACAAAACAGGUGUCUGACGUUUCAGUUAUCUCCACAAACCGGAAUACUAUUUUGGGUGAGCAAGAUAUGACUGUAAGGUGCUGCCAUCUUUUUUACAAAUCAGUGGAUGGGUGGAUGUCUCUUAAAUGCUGUAGACUGGAAGGAAGACAGAAUUGGCCCAAAUGGGAGUGAUUACAUUGACAGCAAAAAUCUCCAGGUGGCGUCCUUUUUCUUCGUGAGUCGUCUUAGCCUCAGUGGUCAGGUGUACUGGGUCAUACCUUAGGGAGACAUUGGGCGAGAAUUUGGUAAAAGGAGAAUAUCAGAAAACCUAGGAUCCUCAUUAAUGUGCGAAGUUCAAGAGAUUACUCAGGUAAGCAAGA